CGGAUACAAACACACCAUCCAACAAGGAUAUCUCCUCCACAGCCCUCGGCAGAAACAGUGUGGGAUAUUUAUCGAUCGGAUCCACGCGCUCACCUGUUCGUCAAAGCGAGGCUGCACAGAAAAGUCGCGUGCACAUCUGGAGCCUGAACGAUGCUACCGACCGUCCUCAUCACCUCAUCGCCACAUGUUGGAUGUUUUAGUGUCCGCGGACGCAGGAGGCAUCUCGCACGAUGUGAAAGAAGCUUCAGGCUUUCCUUUUGCUGUUGUAGCAAACACUGGAGCACGUUCCUGUCUUUGGUUAUCUAGCUGUAUGAGUGUUAAUCAUCCAUCAUAAAGCUAGAUAACCGAAAGUAGGAAUGACCUCCAAACCCUCAACUUCCUGAAGCCCUGUAGAGCCCAGUUCCCUGUGAGAUUACACAACAAGGAAAACACGGACACAAGAGGACAUGGCGUGUUUUCAGAAAUGGACCAUAAUGACGCCACCUUCCUUGCAAUGGGGGAUCUUCAGAGAUUGUAUCAGUGUGUUAAUCACAUGGAUUCACAGGCCAAUGCAUGAUGUUUUGUCUCUGUGCAGUCAAUGAAAAUGUGUGAAUGGACUUGUAAUACAUGUUAAACCACAGUUCAUAAAUAGAAAAUAAGUUUUGAUGUGAUCUUUGAUUGAAUAUUCUCAAAGUAACAUUGAGUUUUUGUCUUCGUAGUUGCUUAUUUGUGAUUUUAUUUGUAUUUUGAUGAUGGGGGGGGGGUAAACAAAAUGUUUAAAGGUUGCUGCUUUCAUUCUUUGACACUUUGUUAAAAUAUUCAUAUGGCAUUUGAGAUGAUCAAAGCAAGCUAAAUAAAACGUUUUGCUCUUUACUCAAUAAAAUAAAUAUUGGAGAAAUGUGA